CCUACGGGCGGCUGCAGUGGGGGAUAUUGGACAAUGGGGGGGAACCCUGAUCCAGCGACGCCGCGUGAGUGAAGAAGUAUUUCGGUAUGUAAAGCUCUGUCAGCAGGGAAGAAAGCAAUGACGGUACCUGACCAAGAAGCCCCGGCUAACUACGUGCCAGCAGCCGCGGUAAUACGUAGGGGGCAAGCGUUAUCCGGAAUUACUGGGUGUAAAGGGGGCGUAGACGGCUGUGCAAGUCUGGAGUGAAAGGCGGGGGCCCAACCCCCGGACUGCUCUGGAAACUGUAUGGCUGGAGUGCAGGAGAGGUAAGCGGAAGUCCUAGUGGAGCGGUGAAAUGCGUAGAUAUUAGGAGGAACACCAGUGGCGAAGGCGGCUUACUGGACUGUAACUGACGUUGAGGCUCGAAAGCGUGGGGAGCAAACAGGAUUAGAUACCCCUGUAGUC
rnacentral:rRNA from 1 species